rnacentral:rRNA from 1 species
AUCUGGGCGAUGAAAUUCAGAAUGACUGGCUGGUCUUGCGCCUGUCCGGUCAUUUGAUAUUUUCGUCGCUGUAACAGACGUCGCGAUCUGCUCGUUGUCGGUCCCUGCUCGGAGGAGUUGCAAUCGAGUUUGUUGUAGAUGCGUUUCGGCGUGUCAUACGGCAAAGAUGCGAAUCUCUGGCUGACAACGGGCAGUAUGCAAAGGUUUCUGAUGCCGUGUUAUGUGCGCGGCUUCGGUACCGAUCAGCGACGAUCUCUUCGGGCCUCUUUCCGACCCGUCUUGAAACACGGACCAAGGAGUCUAACAUGCGCGCGAGUCGCGGGGUGUCGAGCGUACUACGGUGCGCUCGUUCAUUAUGAAACCCGUCUGUUGAAGGCGUAAUGAAAGUGAAUGGGGAAGAUGGUGUUCCGAGUAUACGUACCGUGAAUUUCGCGGCCGGACACCCGCAUUCCCGGGGCGUCUCAAUGGCUCAUCGUAGAUGCGGACUGUCGUCCUUCGGGGCGGUAGUCGGUCCGCGAUGGUCCGA